UACGUAGGCAGCAAGCGUUGUUCGGAAUUACUGGGCGUAAAGAGUGUGUAGGCGGUUUUCUAAGUUCGGUGUGAAAUCUCCCGGCUUAACUGGGAGGGUGCGCCGGAAACUGGAGGACUGGAGUGCCGGAGAGGAUAGCGGAAUUCCUGGUGUAGCGGUGAAAUGCGUAGAUAUCAGGAGGAACACCUGCGGUGUAGACGGCUAUCUGGACGGUUACUGACGCUGAGACACGAAAGCGUGGGGAGCGAACAGG
rnacentral:rRNA from 1 species